GCGCUAGCGUUAGCGUUCGCUAGCUAGCGUUAGCCCUAACCCUAAUUUUUAAAUCAUGACCUCUACCUCUGAUAUUUAAAAAGAAAUCUUAAGACAUCAUUUUAGCCUGAAUUUUAAGCAAGGUGCCUCCAUUAUUAGUUGAUUUUGCCUAAUGCUAUCUUAAUUUUUGUGCCCUUGCUCACCUGUGGUUUUUGUUUUUGUUGCAGUGUCUUUCUAUCACGUGCAGCACAUUGGGUGUAGACAUGUGCUAUAUAAAUUAAGAUUGAUUAAUUACAUGAAUACCUUUGAGGUCUAAUAAAAUUAAAAUGUUACAUUUUCAUAUUUUUCCAUCCGCUCCCAUUCUAAGCUGCUGUGCCAAUGUGAGGACAGAGAACUACUGCAUAAUAGGAGCAAUAAAAAAAAAAAUCUGAUAAUUUUUUUGACCAAAAUUAUUAGGAAACUAUAGCCCAAGGUUGGAUUUGCCUGAACUUGUACUUUAUUAUUAAAAACAGGUUCCUGUAAUACCUGUGUUAAGCAUGCACAUAUUAAGGAACGUGUCAGUAAUCUACAAACCACGACAUCACUGGAACUUCCUUGUAACUACAAUAUUUUUCUCUUUCAGAACAAGUGCUCAGAGCUACUGAAGAGCUGCUUUGACAACGUGGGCCCAGUGCACUGGAGACAUCCAUUGUUUGGAAAAAUACAGGAAGCUGUUUCCCCGUGGAGCUCCAGCAGUGCUUAGAGGGCUAAAAAACCUUCACCUGACAUCUUAUCAGCAAGGGGAAACCAGAUGUGACAGCGGUACGCACCGUUGUACUCCGAGGCCUCCCUGUUCUACUUGGUUAUGACCCCAGUGACUUCUACAACACCUGCUUCGAUUGUGACACUGAUGAGACCUGGGUAAAAGUAUCUGUCGGGGUGCUGACUGUUCUCCCUGAAGAUCUGCAACUCCUUCCAAAUCAGCUCCACCUUCACCCAAUGUCUACUGCCAUCAUUGUUGAGGGAGGUAUUGUAAUGGAUGAACUCCAGAACCUACCUGAGGCACUUUGACUUUUGUUUGGAAUGUCAUACGCUUUGCAUUUAGACCCUAAAGCCAUGAAAAACACUUUCUGCUUCAUUCAAAGAGUGAU